CAAUGUCUCAGCAGUACGGUAUAUAAACCAUCUGGGAGGUACCAAGUCACGCAUCUUAGCGGUCUUGGCUCGAGACUUUUGGCAUUACUGUUUACAGAACAAUGUGUCAGUUACCGCGGAACACAUCCCAGGCCUGGACAAUUACACCAUGGAUUGGAACUCCCGUUACCUGAGGGACUCGGGAGAUUGGAGACUUCAACCGAGC